GUUGGGUAGGGGAGCGUUCUGUAAGCCUGUGAAGGUGGCCUGUGAGGGUUGCUGGAGGUAUCAGAAGUGCGAAUGCUGACAUAAGUAACGAUAAAGCGGGUGAAAAGCCCGCUCGCCGGAAGACCAAGGGUUCCUGUCCAACGUUAAUCGGGGCAGGGUGAGUCGACCCCUAAGGCGAGGCCGAAAGGCGUAGUCGAUGGGAAACGGGUUAAUAUUCCCGUACUUGGUGUUACUGCGAAGGGGGGACGGAGAAGGCUAUGUUGGCCGGGCGACGGUUGUCCCGGUUUAAGCGUGUAGGUGUGUGUUCCAGGUAAAUCCGGUUCACUUUAACACUGAGGCGUGACGACGAGGCACUACGGUGCUGAAGCAACAAAUGCCCUGCUUCCAGGAAAAGCCUCUAAGCAUCAGGUAACAUCAAAUCGUACCCCAAACCGACACAGGUGGUCAGGUAGAGAAUACCAAGGCGCUUGAGAGAACUCGGGUGAAGGAACUAGGCAAAAUGGUGCCGUAACUUCGGGAGAAGGCACGCUGACACGUAGGUGAAGUGAUUUACUCACGGAGCUGAAGUCAGUCGAAGAUACCAGCUGGCUGCAACUGUUUAUUAAAAACACAGCACUGUGCAAACACGAAAGUGGACGUAUACGGUGUGACGCCUGCCCGGUGCCGGAAGGUUAAUUGAUGGGGUCAGCGCAAGCGAAGCUCCUGAUCGAAGCCCCGGUAAACGGCGGCCGUAACUAUAACGGUCCUAAGGUAGCGAAAUUCCUUGUCGGGUAAGUUCCGACCUGCACGAAUGGCGUAAUGAUGGCCAGGCUGUCUCCACCCGAGACUCAGUGAAAUUGAACUCGCUGUGAAGAUGCAGUGUACCCGCGGCAAGACGGAAAGACCCCGUGAACCUUUACUAUAGCUUGACACUGAACAUUGAGCCUUGAUGUGUAGGAUAGGUGGGAGGCUUUGAAGCGUGGACGCCAGUCUGCGUGGAGCCGACCUUGAAAUACCACCCUUUAAUGUUUGAUGUUCUAACGUGGACCCGUAAUCCGGGUUGCGGACAGUGUCUGGUGGGUAGUUUGACUGGGGCGGUCUCCUCCUAAAGAGUAACGGAGGAGCACGAAGGUUGGCUAAUCCUGGUCGGACAUCAGGAGGUUAGUGCAAUGGCAUAAGCCAGCUUGACUGCGAGCGUGACGGCGCGAGCAGGUGCGAAAGCAGGUCAUAGUGAUCCGGUGGUUCUGAAUGGAAGGGCCAUCGCUCAACGGAUAAAAGGUACUCCGGGGAUAACAGGCUGAUACCGCCCAAGAGUUCAUAUCGACGGCGGUGUUUGGCACCUCGAUGUCGGCUCAUCACAUCCUGGGGCUGAAGUAGGUCCCAAGGGUAUGGCUGUUCGCCAUUUAAAGUGGUACGCGAGCUGGGUUUAGAACGUCGUGAGACAGUUCGGUCCCUAUCUGCCGUGGGCGCUGGAGAACUGAGGGGGGCUGCUCCUAGUACGAGAGGACCGGAGUGGACGCAUCACUGGUGUUCGGGUUGUCAUGCCAAUGGCACUGCCCGGUAGCUAAAUGCGGAAGAGAUAAGUGCUGAAAGCAUCUAAGCACGAAACUUGCCCCGAGAUGAGUUCUCCCUGAGACUUAAAGUCUCCUGAAGGAACGUUGAAGACGACGACGUUGAUAGGCCGGGUGUGUAAGCGCAGCGAUGCGUUGAGCUAACCGGUACUAAUGAACCGUGAGGCUUAACCUUACAACGCCGAAG
rnacentral:rRNA from 1 species